CCUACGGGUGGCAGCAGUGGGGAAUAUUGCACAAUGGGCGCAAGCCUGAUGCAGCCAUGCCGCGUGUAUGAAGAAGGCCUUCGGGUUGUAAAGUACUUUCAGUGGGGAGGAAGGCGAUGAAGUUAAUAGCUUCGUCGAUUGACGUUACCCGCAGAAGAAGCACCGGCUAACUCCGUGCCAGCAGCCGCGGUAAUACGGAGGGUGCAAGCGUUAAUCGGAAUUACUGGGCGUAAAGCGCACGCAGGCGGUCUGUCAAGUCGGAUGUGAAAUCCCCGGGCUCAACCUGGGAACUGCAUUCGAAACUGGCAGGCUAGAGUCUUGUAGAGGGGGGUAGAAUUCCAGGUGUAGCGGUGAAAUGCGUAGAGAUCUGGAGGAAUACCGGUGGCGAAGGCGGCCCCCUGGACAAAGACUGACGCUCAGGUGCGAAAGCGUGGGGAGCAAACAGGAUUAGAUACCCGUGUAGUC
rnacentral:rRNA from 1 species